AACAAAGUAUAAUAAGUCUUCUAAACUUGUUAAGGAUUAAUAGUCCAUUUGUUU
rnacentral:tRNA from 1 species